rnacentral:sRNA from 1 species
UUGAUGGCCCUGGAGACUGGAGACCUGUAUUUAUCCACAGAACAAAUUCUGCACCUGCAGCAGUGAUGAAAGCUUGCUCACACUGCCCUGCCACUGUGCCUCCCUCUGUCCUGACUGGAGCACUUCUGAAGGUUCAGUUUCCAAACUGAACUUGGACUUGAACUUGG